rnacentral:rRNA from 1 species
GACGAACGCUGGCGGCGCGCUUAACACAUGCAAGUCGAACGGAAAGGCCUGCUUUCCCUUGUGGAUUGCGGGUACUCGAGUGGCGAACGGGUGAGUAACACGUGAGUGAUCUGCCCCCAACUUGGGUAUAAGCCUGGGAAACUGGGUCUAAUUCCCGAUAGGACUGCAGGGUGGUGCCUGUGGUGGAAAACGAUUUUCUAGUGGUUGGGGAUGAGCUCGCGGCCUAUCAGCUUGUUGGUGGGGUAAUGGCCUACCAAGGCGGCGACGGGUAGCCGGCCUGGGAGGGUGGACGGCCACAUUGGGACUGAGAUACGGCCCAGACUCCUACGGGAGGCAGCAGUGGGGAAUAUUGCACAAUGGGCGGAAGCCUGAUGCAGCGACGCCGCGUGGGGGAUGACGGCCUUCGGGUUGUAAACUCCUUGCGACCGCGAGGAAGCCACCUGGUUGGAAGGGUGGUGACGGUAGUGGUAGAAGAAGCACCGGCUAACUACGUG